GUUUUCUUUUGUCAUUUGAGUUUAAAUUUUAUAACUUCUUGUGAACUGUUUGCUAAAUACAAAACUCUGUAUUUGAAACUUGUGGACAAACAAAACUUAUCAGUCUUAGACUACAAUGGAUUCUGUAAGUCUACAAAGCAUCAUAGUUUACUGGCCGAAAAAAUUGAUUAUCCACAGCUGGAGAACAUUGCAGUUCGUAUUACGUUCUUAUUAGGUCCUGUGGGCCUCUCUUAGAACAUAAGGCAUUCCAGUUCCCUAUGUCAUUAGCUGGAAAAGAGAGGAAAAGGGGGUCAAU